AGUGAACGCUGGCGGUAGGCCUAACACAUGCAAGUCGAACGGCAGCACAGUAAGAGCUUGCUCUUACGGGUGGCGAGUGGCGGACGGGUGAGGAAUACAUCGGAAUCUACUUUUUCGUGGGGGAUAACGUAGGGAAACUUACGCUAAUACCGCAUACGACCUACGGGCGAAAGCAGGGGAUCUUCGGACCUUGCGCGAUUGAAUGAGCCGAUGUCGGAUUAGCUAGUUGGCGGGGUAAAGGCCCACCAAGGCGACGAUCCGUAGCUGGACUGAGAGGAUGAUCAGCCAGCCUGCAGCUGCGGCACGGUCCAGACUCCUACGGGACGCAGCAGUCGAGCAUCUUGGACCACCGGGCAGAACGUUGCGCAGCCGUCCCGCGUGGGUGAAGUAGGCCUUCGAGUUGUAGAGCCCGUUUGUUGGGCAAGAAGAGCAGGUGUUGUGUCCACUGCCGUUGUGGCGCUACAUAGAGAAUAAGCACUGGCUCACUUCGUG
rnacentral:rRNA from 1 species